GAAACGACUGCUAAGACUGGAUAGGAGAUAAGAAGGCAUCUUUUUAUUUUUAAAAGACCUUUUUCCGGAGGUUUCGUUACACAGGCGCUUGCGGCACAUUAGUUAGUUGGUAGGGUAAAAGCCUACCAAGACUAUGAUGUGUAGCUGGACUGAGAGGUUGAACAGCCACAUUGGGACUGAGACACGGCCCAAACUCCUACGGGAGGCAGCAGUAGGGAAUUUUCGGCAAUGGAGGAAACUCUGACCGAGCAACGCCGCGUGAACGAUGAAGUAUUUCGGUAUGUAAAGUUCUUUUAUUGAAGAAGAAAAAAUAGUGGAAAAACUAUCUUGACGAUAUUCAAUGAAUAAGCCCCGGCAAACUAUAUGCCAGCAGCCGCGGUAAUACAUAGGGGGCGAGCGUUAUCCGGAAUUAUUGGGCGUAAAGGGUGCGUAGGCGGUUUGGUAAGUCUAUAGUUUAAUUUCAGUGCUUAACACUGUUUUGCUAUAGAAACUAUCAGACUAGAGUGAGAUAGAGGCAAGUGGAAUUCCAUGUGUAGCGGUAAAAUGCGUAAAUAUAUGGAGGAACACCAGAGGCGUAGGCGGCUUGCUGGGUCUUUACUGACGCUGAGGCACGAAAGCGUGGGGAGCAAACAGGAUUAGAUACCCUGGUAGUCCACGCCGUAAACGAUGAGUACUAAGUGUCGGGGAAACUCGGUACUGAAGUUAACACAUUAAGUACUCCGCCUGAGUAGUACGUACGCAAGUAUGAAACUUAAAGGAUUUGACGGGACUCCGCACAAGCGGUGGAUCAUGUUGUUUAAUUCGAAGAUACACGAAAAACCUUACCAGGUCUUGACAUACUCUGCAAAGCUAUAGCAAUAUAGUGGAGGUUAUCAGGGAUACAGGUGGUGCAUGGUUGUCGUCAGCCCGUGUCGUGAGAUGUUAGGUUAAGUCCUAAAACGAGCGCAACCCUUGUCACUAGUUGCCAGCAUGUUAUGAUGGGCACUUUAGUGAGACUGCCAAUGAAAAAUUGGAGGAAGGUGAGGAUCACGUCAAAUCAUCAUGCCCCUUAUGAUCUGGGCUACAAACGUGAUACAAUGGCUGUUACAAAGAGUAGCUAAAACGCGAGUUUAUAGCCAAUCUCAUAAAAGCAGUCUCAGUUCGGAUUGAAGUCUGCGAUAGAACUCCAGAGAGUGGGACGCGCUAGUAAUCGCGAAUCAGCAUGUCGCGGUGAAUACGUUCUCGGGGUUUGUACACACCGCCCGUCA
rnacentral:rRNA from 1 species